rnacentral:rRNA from 1 species
UACGAAAGGGGCUAGCGUUGGUCGGAAUUACUAGGCGUAAAGCGCACGGAGGCGGCUAUGUAAGAUGGGGGUGAAAUCCCGGGGCUCAACUCCGGAACUGCCUUCAUGACUGCAUGGCUCGAGGACGCGAGAGGUUGGCGGAAUUCCGAGUGUAGAGGUGAAAUUCGUAGAUAUUCGGAAGAACACCAGUGGCGAAGGUGGCCAACUGGCGCGUUUUUGACGCUGAGCUGCGAAAGCGUGGGGAGCAAACAGG